rnacentral:rRNA from 1 species
GACAGAGGAUGCAAGCGUUAUCCGGAAUGAUUGGGCGUAAAGCGUCUGUAGGUGGCUUUUUAAGUCCGCCGUCAAAUCCCAGGGCUCAACCCUGGACAGGCGGUGGAAACUACCAAGCUUGAGUCCGGAAGAGGCGAGUGGAAUUCCGUGGUGUAGCGGUGAAAUGCGCAGAUAUCAGGAGGAACACCAAUGGCGGAAGGGCAGCUUGCUGGGCCACUCCCUGACACUGAGGUACGAAAGCGUGGGGAGCGAACAGG